rnacentral:lncRNA from 1 species
CUACCAUUCAAAUAACACAAGACCAAUCAACACACAAUGCAGACUCCUUUUUGACAUGGGAGUUUUCACUGUGUACAAUGUAAAGAUAUUUGGCACCGGGACAAGACUUUAUGUGACAGACCAGGAAGUCCAAAAACCCAUCGUGUCGAUCUACCCACUGUCUAACCCUGAGCCAAUGGGAAACACCACCCUGCUAUGUUUGGCUAAGGACAUGUUCCCAGACUUAGUCAAGAUCUCAUGGAAGAUGAGGAAUGAGAAUGGCACAGCAGAAGAGAUUCCUCAAGAAGAGAAGGAACAGCUGGAACAGAUGGAACAGAUGGAUGAAGGACAGACGACCAGUAUGAUCAUCAUUGAUGGAGAGAAGGCCGAUGUUAAUAAAUACAUCUGUUGGGUGGAGCAUGAAGUAUGCAAUAUACCUGACACAAGAACAGAAACAGACCAGGAAGUCCAAAAACCCAUCGUGACGAUCUACCCACUGUCUAACCCUGAGCCAAAGGGAAACACCACCCUGCUAUGUUUGGCUAAGGACAUGUUCCCAGACUUAGUCAAGAUCUCAUGGAAGAUGAGGAAUGAGAAUGGCACAGCAGAAGAGAUGCCUCAAGAAGAGAAGGAACAGCUGGAACAGAUGGAACAGAUGGAUGAAGGACAGACGACCAGUAUGAUCAUCAUUGAUGGAGAGAAGGCCGAUGUUAAUAAAUACAUCUGUUGGGUGGAGCAUGAAGUAUGCAAUAUGCCUGACACAAAAACAGAAACAGUAACAGAAUCCAUCAACACCAUAUAUAAUCUGAACCUGGCCUCGCUGGCUUAUACAGUGAUGAUAGUGAAGAGCCUGGUGUUCUGCUGUGGGUUUGCUCUCCUGCUUCAACUGAGGAACAUGGGAAGUAGACCUUGCGGCCUCACAUUCAAUUAACACCUACUGGGUCUGAGUUGUCCACUAAUUCCAGGUAAAAUCAAGAAUAAUUUGAACUAUGUCAAUGGAGUUGAAAUGAAAGAUCCAUAUUUUUUCUUGGGACUUACAAGUCAACACAGGAUUACAAAAACUGCAGAAUAAUAUAAUUCAAACAUAAUCAUUUGGAGUUCUAGUGGGAAGCAUCGGUGUAGGUUUGUUUGUAUAUUGGGGGGGGGGGGGGUCAAUAAAUCCCAGGAUAUUCACUCUUUUCCACGGGGGGAUAUUGACCUGUCUGUGAUAUGGGGGGGGGGGGGGGGGAGGUCAUGACCCCCCUGUCCCCUUCUCAUUCUAUGCCCCUGGUGGGAUGGGAGUAAAAAUCAUCCCAUUGAAGUAGUAGCCCACAUUUCAGCUGUAUUGCUUUUAAAUGCCAAAAACAUUUUAGUCAUAGAUUUUCUAUUUAUUGUUUGUAUUGUGCUUUUAAUUCAAAAAAACUGCUUAUUGCUACUGAGUAAACAAAUUAUUUGUAGUGUCAGCUAAAUUAAUAAAUGUGAUUUGUCCAUUAAAUCAUUAUUGUUCAGUUUUUUUACAUUAACAUGGCUUGUAGUUCAUUGAU